CCUACGGGAGGCAGCAGUGAGGAAUAUUGGUCAAUGGCCGAGAGGCUGAACCAGCCAAGUCGCGUGAGGGAAGACGGCCCUACGGGUUGUAAACCUCUUUUGUCAGGGAGCAAUUGGGUCCACGCGUGGGCUUAGCGAGAGUACCUGAAGAAAAAGCAUCGGCUAACUCCGUGCCAGCAGCCGCGGUAAUACGGAGGAUGCGAGCGUUAUCCGGAUUUAUUGGGUUUAAAGGGUGCGCAGGCGGGAGAUCAAGUCAGCGGUAAAAUGUCGGGGCUCAACCCCGGCCGGCCGUUGAAACUGGUUUUCUAGAGUUGGAGAGAAGUAUGCGGAAUUCGUGGUGUAGCGGUGAAAUGCAUAGAUAUCACGAAGAACUCCGAUUGCGAAGGCAGCAUACCGGCUCCAUACUGACGCUGAGGCACGAAAGCGUGGGGAUCGAACAGGAUUAGAUACCCCUGUAGUC
rnacentral:rRNA from 1 species